UUGGAGGGCAAGUCUGGUGCCAGCAGCCGCGGUAAUUCCAGCUCCAAUAGCGUAUAUUAAAGUUGUUGCAGUUAAAAAGCUCGUAGUUGGAUCUUGGGUCGGGGGGAGCGGUCCGCCCUUGUGUGUAUGCACUGGUAUCUUUGAUUUCUCCCUUCUGACGAACUUUGAUGUCAUUAAUUUGGUGUCAUAGGGAAUCAGGACUGUUACUUUGAAAAAAUUAGAGUGUUUAAAGCAAGCUCACGCUUGAAUACAUUAGCAUGGAAUAAUGAAAUAGGACGUUUGAUUCUAUUUUGUUGGUUUCUAGGAUCGACGUAAUGAUUAAUAGGGAUAGUUGGGGGCAUUAGUAUUCAAUUGUCAGAGGUGAAAUUCUUGGAUUUAUUGAAGACUAACUACUGCGAAAGCAUUUGCCAAGGAUGUUUUCAUUAAUCAAGAACGAAAGUUAGGGGAUCGAAGACGAUCAGAUACCGUCGUAGUCUUAACCAUAAACUAUGCCGACUAGGGAUCGGAUGAUGUUAAUUUUUUAAUGACUCAUUCGGCGCCUUACGGGAAAC
rnacentral:rRNA from 1 species